GGCCCUGUAGUUCAACGGAUAGAAUAAGAGUUUCCUAAACUCCAGAUAGGGGUUCGAUUCCCCUCGGGGCUA
rnacentral:tRNA from 1 species